rnacentral:rRNA from 1 species
AAACGCUGGCGGCAUGCUAAUACACGCAGUCGAACGCUCUCGAUUUCGGAUCAAUGAGAGAGUGGCGAACGGGUGAGUACACGUAAGAAACCUGCCCUUAAGUCGAGGAUAACUAUUGGAAACGAUAGCUAAUACUGGAUAGGACAUAAAACCGCAUGGUUUAAUGUUUAAAGAUGCGUAUGCAUCACUUUAGGAGGGUCCUGCUCCGUAUUAGAUAGUUGGUGAGGUAGUGGCUCACCAAGUCAACGAUGCGUAGCCGAGCUGAGAGGCUGAUCGGCCACACUGGGACUGAGACACGGCCCAGACUCCUACGGGAGGCAGCAGUUAGGAAUAUUCGGCAAUGGGGGCAACCCUGACCGAGCAAUGCCGCGUGAACGAAGAAGUAUUUCGAUAUGUAAAGUUCUGUUGUUGAGGAAGAACUGUAGUGAUAGGAAAUGAUCAUUAUUUGACGGUACUCAACCAGAAAGGUCCGGCUAACUACGUGCCAGCAGCCGCGGUAAUACGUAGGGACCAAGCGUUAUCCGGAAUUAUUGGGCGUAAAGGGUUCGUAGGCGGACCAUCAAGUCCGAGUUGAAACCCACGGCUUAACCGUGGAGGGUGCUCGGAAACUGUUGGUCUUGAA